UAGUUAUUCUGGAGUAGCCCAUUCUUGUCUGUUCAGCGUGCAAAAGAGGAAGUACAAGCUCUUCAAACCAUAGGAUUACUUGGUAUACUUGGUGUCCAGAGACUGCUACUCACAGCCAGAUUUUAUAGAAGAAUGUGCAGCAUGUCAAGGGAUCCAGAGUGUAAACAGACUUUGGAAGGGCAAAUACACCGAAUCCAGAGGCAACACAAUAGACUGACCUUCUCAUCAACCUCCUCCCUCCCCUUUCCUUAACCAUGUAAAGUCAGGAAAAGUCAAAGUGCCAGAAGAACAAUAAAUGAAAAAUGACCCUGGCUAACUGAAGAUUUUCAGUGCCUGAUUACCCGCCAUCCAGUCUUACGCAUCAAAGAGCAAAGGGUGAGGGAAACUGGGUAGGGCAGCAAGAAAGAAAGGAAAGGAGAGA
rnacentral:lncRNA from 1 species